UGCCUAACACAUGCAAGUCGAACGAACCCUUCGGGGUUAGUGGCGCACGGGUGCGUAACGCGUGGGAAUCUGCCCUUUGCUUCGGAAUAACAGUUAGAAAUGACUGCUAAUACCGGAUGAUGUCUUCGGACCAAAGAUUUAUCGGCAAAGGAUGAGCCCGCGUAGGAUUAGGUAGUUGGUGGGGUAAAGGCCUACCAAGCCGACGAUCCUUAGCUGGCCUGAGAGGAUGAUCAGCCACACUGGGACUGAGACACGGCCCAGACUCCUACGGGAGGCAGCAGUGGGGAAUAUUGGACAAUGGGCGAAAGCCUGAUCCAGCAAUGCCGCGUGAGUGAUGAAGGCCUUAGGGUCGUAAAGCUCUUUUACCCGGGAUGAUAAUGACAGUACCGGGAGAAUAAGCCCCGGCUAACUCCGUGCCAGCAGCCGCGGUAAUACGGAGGGGGCUAGCGUUGUUCGGAAUUACUGGGCGUAAAGCGUACGUAGGCGGUUAUUCAAGUCGGAGGUGAAAGCCCGGGGCUCAACCCCGGAACGGCCUUUGAAACUAGGUAGCUAGAGUCUUGGAGAGGUCAGUGGAAUUCCGAGUGUAGAGGUGAAAUUCGUAGAUAUUCGGAAGAACACCAGUGGCGAAGGCGACUGACUGGACAAGUACUGACGCUGAGGUACGAAAGCGUGGGGA
rnacentral:rRNA from 1 species